GAGGGGGCGAGCGUUAUUCGGAAUUAUUGGGCGUAAAGGGCGCGUAGGCGGCUGGGCAAGUCCAAGGUGAAAUCCCUCGGCUCAACCGAGGAACUGCCUUGGAAACUGCCCGGCUUGAGGCCGGGAGAGGGUAGUGGAAUUCCCAGUGUAGCGGUGAAAUGCGUAGAUAUUGGGAGGAACACCGGUGGCGAAGGCGGCUACCUGGACCGGCUCUGACGCUGAUGCGCGAAAGCGUGGGGAGCAAACAGGAUUAGAUACCCUGGUAGUCCACGCCCUAAACGAUGGGUACUCGGUGUCGCGGGUAUCGACCCCUGCGGUGCCUUAGCUAACGCGUUAAGUACCCCACCUGGGGAGUACGGUCGCAAGGCUG
rnacentral:rRNA from 1 species